UACGAAGGGGGCUAGCGUUGCUCGGAAUCACUGGGCGUAAAGGGUGCGUAGGCGGGUCUUUUAAGUCAGGGGUGAAAUCCUGGAGCUCAACUCCAGAACUGCCUUUGAUACUGAAGAUCUUGAGUCCGGGAGAGGUGAGUGGAACUGCGAGUGUAGAGGUGAAAUUCGUAGAUAUUCGCAAGAACACCAGUGGCGAAGGCGGCUCACUGGCCCGAUACUGACGCUGAGGCACGAAAGCGUGGGGAGCAAGCAGG
rnacentral:rRNA from 1 species